rnacentral:lncRNA from 1 species
UUACUUGGUGCUAAGGAGCUCAGAGGCAUGGGCUGCUUCAGAGUCCCUAAAGAUUCUCCCAGGCUGAGACUUUUCUUCUUAUUCUUCUUCUCAGAUGGUUCUCUCUCCCUCUUCAUGAAGUUGGGUGGUUGAUCUGGGAGUCAUUCCAAGAUGAAUCUAGAAAUGUCAAUUCCUUGGGCUUCCAGAUCCUGCAGGUAGCAAGCGAUGACUUCUGGAGGAUCUAUCUUUGAGAAAAGAUAC